CCGCGGCUAUCCGUAUACAUGCAAGUCGAGCGCGGGAAGCAGGCAGAUCCUCUUCGGAGGUGACGCCUGUGGAACGAGCGGCGGACGGGUGAGUAACACGUGGGCAACCUGCCUGUAAGACUGGGAUAACCCCGGGAAACCGGGGCUAAUACCGGAUAAUACUUUUCGUUGCAUAACGAGAAGUUGAAAGGCGGCUUUUAGCUGUCACUUACAGAUGGGCCCGCGGCGCAUUAGCUAGUUGGUAAGGUAACGGCUUACCAAGGCGACGAUGCGUAGCCGACCUGAGAGGGUGAUCGGCCACACUGGGACUGAGACACGGCCCAGACUCCUACGGGAGGCAGCAGUAGGGAAUCUUCCGCAAUGGACGAAAGUCUGACGGAGCAACGCCGCGUGAGUGAUGAAGGUUUUCGGAUCGUAAAACUCUGUUGUCAGGGAAGAACAAGUGCCGUUCAAAUAGGGCGGCACCUUGACGGUACCUGACCAGAAAGCCCCGGCUAACUACGUGCCAGCAGCCGCGGUAAUACGUAGGGGGCAAGCGUUGUCCGGAAUUAUUGGGCGUAAAGCGCGCGCAGGCGGUCCUUUAAGUCUGAUGUGAAAGCC
rnacentral:rRNA from 1 species